CUGGCUCAGAUUGAACGCUGGCGGCAGGCCUAACACAUGCAAGUCGAGCGGUAACAUUUCUAGCUUGCUAGAAGAUGACGAGCGGCGGACGGGUGAGUAAUGCUUGGGAACGUGCCGUAAGGUGGGGGACAACCAUUGGAAACGAUGGCUAAUACCGCAUAAUGUCUACGGACCAAAGGGGGCUUCGGCUCUCGCCUUAUGAUCGGCCCAAGUGGGAUUAGCUAGUUGGUAAGGUAAUGGCUUACCAAGGCGACGAUCCCUAGCUGGUUUGAGAGGAUGAUCAGCCACACUGGAACUGAGACACGGUCCAGACUCCUACGGGAGGCAGCAGUGGGGAAUAUUGCACAAUGGGCGCAAGCCUGAUGCAGCCAUGCCGCGUGUGUGAAGAAGGCCUUAGGGUUGUAAAGCACUUUCAGUAAGGAGGAAAGGUUAGUAGUUAAUACCUGCUAGCUGUGACGUUACUUACAGAAGAAGCACCGGCUAACUCCGUGCCAGCAGCCGCGGUAAUACGGAGGGUGCGAGCGUUAAUCGGAAUUACUGGGCGUAAAGCGUACGCAGGCGGUUUGUUAAGCGAGAUGUGAAAGCCCCGGGCUCAACCUGGGAACUGCAUUUCGAACUGGCAAACUAGAGUGUGAUAGAGGGUGGUAGAAUUUCAGGUGUAGCGGUGAAAUGCGUAGAGAUCUGAAGGAAUACCGAUGGCGAAGGCAGCCACCUGGGUC
rnacentral:rRNA from 2 species